AUUCCGUUGAACUAACUGAUUUUGUUCUAUUUAUAAAGUCCUGAAAUAAAGGGAUGUUUUUCAGAAUUAUUAAAGUAGAAGCCUGAGCAGGUAAGCUGAGCCCCACCUCACGUCUGCUGCCAGAGCUCAGCGGUGUGAAGCGGGCAGAUGAGAAAAGUCACACCUCUUGCAGAAUCCAAUUAAAUCAGACUCCUCCAUUUUCCUUGUAUGACAUACUAUUUUGAUAAUAAAUUAAAAACAGGAAGCCAAAAGAGGGUUCAAAUUACCUUAUGCUCCCAGCAUACUAAGGGAGGAUGCACCUUUGGGAAUGCCUGAAGCAGUUAUUUCUGAGACACUCAUUAUAUUUCAGUCAGUUUGGAAUAUGGGAAGAAGGAGUCAGUGAGCUGACAGGUUAACUGCUCAGGUUAGCACUAGAUCUCAGAAAGUGCUACACCAGACACGGGGAGGUGUUAUGCCACUGAUCACAGAGAUACCCUUCCUGUUACCCAAGAAGCACAGUCAUGCUCAAGGCCAGGAUCGCUGGGGAUUCCCCCUGGUCCUUCACUCAGCCUUAAAGGACUUCCUUCUGUGACCCUACAGCUGAGAGGUGUUCUGCGUCUCUCCUACACGUGUGACUCCAGGAAGGAAAAGGACACCUUGCCGGGUGUCCCCAUCCUGAACUUCUAUUCCCAUUGACUGUGGCCAUCCCUCUACACUCUGGAGCAGGGCUGAAGACCCAAGGAGCCAUAGGUAUUAAAGGUGGGUGAUUUCCUAGCAGUGGGAACACACACAGAUUCCUAAAUCCCCCAAGCCUGACCUCUCGGAGUAACCGAUGUUCACUUUCUUGGACCAGGUGUCCUGCAUGGAGAUCCAUCUCUCCCUGGUGAUGGACAGGAAAAAUCCUCUUUGCUUUUACCUGCAAGCCACUCCCAAUGCGGGG
rnacentral:lncRNA from 13 species